AAUAGAUGACGCCGUUGACUUUUUCUCACAUGUUUGACCAUUCGUCUUAUUCAAAAAAAUUACGUAAUUAUAAUUUAUUUUGUUAUGAGUUUUUUUAUCACUCAUAGUACUUUAAAUGUGAUUUAUAUCUUAUACAUUUGUAUAAAAUUUUUGAAAGACGAAUGGUCAAACAUGUGAGAAAAAGUUAACGGCGUCAUCUAUU
rnacentral:pre_miRNA from 1 species